UACGUAGGGGUCGAGCGUUGUCCGGAGUUAUUGGGCGUAAAGCGCGCGCAGGCGGCCUCGCGCGCCCGACGUGAAAGCCCCCGGCUUAACCGGGGAGAGUCGUUGGGGACGGCGGGGCUUGAGGGCGGGAGAGGUCGGUGGAAUUCCCGGUGUAGUGGUGAAAUGCGUAGAUAUCGGGAGGAACACCAGUGGCGAAGGCGGCUUUCUGGCCCGUUCUUGACGCUGAGGCGCGAAAGCUAGGGUAGCAAACGGG
rnacentral:rRNA from 1 species